rnacentral:rRNA from 1 species
GACGAACGCUGUUGGCGUGCUUAACACAUGCAAGUCGAACGGAAAGGCCCUGCUUUUGUGGGGUGCUCGAGUGGCGAACGGGUGAUUAACACGUGAGUAACCUGCCCUUGACUUUGGGAUAACUUCAGGAAACUGGGGCUAAUACCGGAUAGGAGCUCCUGCUGCAUGGUGGGGGUUGGAAAGUUUCGGCGGUUGGGGAUGGACUCGCGGCUUAUCAGCUUGUUGGUGGGGUAGUGGCUUACCAAGGCUUUGACGGGUAGCCGGCCUGAGAGGGUGACCGGCCACAUUGGGACUGAGAUACGGCCCAGACUCCUACGGGAGGCAGCAGUGGGGAAUAUUGCACAAUGGGCGGAAGCCUGAUGCAGCAACGCCGCGUGCGGGAUGACGGCCUUCGGGUUGUAAACCGCUUUCGCCUGUGACGAAGCGUGAGUGACGGUAAUGGGUAAAGAAGCACCGGCUAACUACGUGCCAGCAGCCGCGGUGAUACGUAGGGUGCGAGCGUUGUCUGGAUUUAUUGGGCGUAAAGGGCUCGUAGGUGGUUGAUCGCGUCGGAAGUGUAAUCUUGGGGCUUAACCCUGAGCGUGCUUUCGAUACGGGUUGACUUGAGGAAGGUAGGGGAGAAUGGAAUUCCUGGUGGAGCGGUGGAAUGCGCAGAUAUCAGGAGGAACACCAGUGGCGAAGGCGGUUCUCUGGGCCUUUCCUGACGCUGAGGAGCGAAAGCGUGGGGAGCGAACAGGCUUAGAUACCCUGGUAGUCCACGCUGUAAACGGUGGGUACUAGGUGUGGGGUCCAUUCCACGGGUUCCGUGCCGUAGCUAACGCUUUAAGUACCCCGCCUGGGGAGUACGGCCGCAAGGCUAAAACUCAAAGGAAUUGACGGGGCCCCGCACAAGCGGCGGAGCAUGCGGAUUAAUUCGAUGCAACGCGUAGAACCUUACCUGGGUUUGACAUGGAUCGGGAGUGCUCAGAGAUGGGUGUGCCUCUUUUGGGGUCGGUUCACAGGUGGUGCAUGGCUGUCGUCAGCUCGUGUCGUGAGAUGUUGGGUUAAGUCCCGCAACGAGCGCAACCCUUGUUCACUGUUGCCAGCACGUUAUGGUGGGGACUCAGUGGAGACCGCCGGGGUCAACUCGGAGGAAGGUGGGGAUGACGUCAAGUCAUCAUGCCCCUUAUGUCCAGGGCUUCACGCAUGCUACAAUGGCUGGUACAGAGAGUGGCGAGCCUGUGAGGGUGAGCGAAUCUCGGAAAGCCGGUCUCAGUUCGGAUUGGGGUCUGCAACUCGACCUCAUGAAGUCGGAGUCGCUAGUAAUCGCAGAUCAGCAACGCUGCGGUGAAUACGUUCCCGGGGCU